rnacentral:rRNA from 1 species
AUUGAACGCUGGCGGCAGGCCUAACACAUGCAAGUCGAGCGGAGCGGCCGACGGGUGAGUAAUGCCUAGGAAUCUGCCUGGUAGUGGGGGAUAGCGUCCGGCAACGGGCGCUAAUACCUCCUACUUUCAGAUGAGCCUAGGUCGGAUUAGCUAGUUGGUGGGGUAAAGGCCUACCAAGGCGACGAACCGUAACUGGUCUGAGAGGAUGAUCAGUCAAACUGGAACGGAGACACGGUCCAGACUCCUACGGGAGGCAGCAGUGGGGAAUAUUGGACAAUGGGCGAAAGCCUGAUGCAGCCAUGCCGCGUGUGUGAAGAAGGUCUUCGGAUUGUAAAGCACUUUAAGUUGGGAGGCGUUACCAACAGAAUAAGCACCGGCUAACUUCGUGCCAGCCGCCGCGGUAAUAC